rnacentral:rRNA from 1 species
GACGAAGGGGGCUAGCGUUGCUCGGAAUCACUGGGCGUAAAGCGCACGUAGGCGGAUCGCUAAGUCAGGGGUGAAAUCCUGGAGCUCAACUCCAGAACUGCCUUUGAUACUGGCAAUCUCGAGUCCGGGAGAGGUGAGUGGAACUGCGAGUGUAGAGGUGAAAUUCGUAGAUAUUCGCAAGAACACCAGUGGCGAAGGCGGCUCACUGGCCCGGUACUGACGCUGAGGUGCGAAAGCGUGGGGAGCAAACAGG